rnacentral:rRNA from 1 species
UAGGGAAUCUUCCGCAAUGGGCGAAAGCCUGACGGAGCAACGCCGCGUGAGUGAUGAAGGUCUUCGGAUCGUAAAACUCUGUUAUUAGGGAAGAACAAAUGUGUAAGUAACUAUGCACGUCUUGACGGUACCUAAUCAGAAAGCCACGGCUAACUACGUGCCAGCAGCCGCGGUAAUACGUAGGUGGCAAGCGUUAACCGGAAUUAUUGGGCGUAAAGCGCGCGUAGGCGGUUUUUUAAGUCUGAUGUGAAAGCCCACGGCUCAACCGUGGAGGGUCAUUGGAAACUGGAAAACUUGAGUGCAGAAGAGGAAGGUGGAAUUCCAUGUGUAGCGGUGAAAUGCGCAGAGAUAUGGAGGAACACCAGUGGCGAAGGCGACUUUCUGGUCUGUAACUGACGCUGAUGUGCGAAAGCGUGGGGAUCAAACAGG